AGUGAACGCUGGCGGUAGGCCUAACACAUGCAAGUCGAACGGCAGCACAGUAAGAUCUUGCUCUUACGGGUGGCGAGUGGCGGACGGGUGAGGAAUACAUCGGAAUCUACUUUUUCGUGGGGGAUAACGUAGGGAAACUUACGCUAAUACCGCAUACGACCUACGGGUGAAAGCAGGGGAUCUUCGGACCUUGCGCGAUUGAAUGAGCCGAUGGCGGAUUAGCUAGUUGGCGGGGUAAAGGCCCACCAAGGCGACGAUCCGUGGCUGGUCUGAGAGGAUGAUCAGCCACACUGGAACUGAGACACGGUCCAGACUCCUACGGGAGGCAGCAGUGGGGAAUAUUGGACAAUGGGCGCAAGCCUGAUCCAGCCAUACCGCGUGGGUGAAGAAGGCCUUCGGGUUGUAAAGCCCUUUUGUUGGGAAAGAAAAGCAGCAGGUUAAUACCCCGCUGUUCUGACGGUACCCAAAGAAUAAGCACCGGCUAACUUCGUG
rnacentral:rRNA from 1 species